rnacentral:rRNA from 1 species
CGGGUGCACUGAUCCAGCCGGGCCUUUCCCUCUGUGGAACCCCAUGGCCUUCACUGGCUGUGGUGGGGAAACAGGACUUUUACUUUGAAAAAAUUAGAGUGCUCCAGGCAGGCCUAUGCUCGAAUACAUUAGCAUGGAAUAAUAGAAUAGGACGUGUGGUUCUAUUUUGUUGGUUUCUAGGACCGCCGUAAUGAUUAAUAGGGACAGUCGGGGGCAUCAGUAUUCAAUUGUCAGAGGUGAAAUUCUUGGAUCUAUUGAAGACUAACUACUGCGAAAGCAUUUGCCAAGGAUGUUUUCAUUGAUAAGGAACGAAAGUUAGGGGAUCGAAGACGAUCAGAUACCGUCGUAGUCUUAACUAUAAACUAUGCCGACUAGGGAUCGGACGAUGUUAUUCUUUGACGCGUUCGGCACCUUUCGAGAAAUCAAAGUGCUUGGGCUCCAGGGGGAGUAUGGUCGCAAGGCUGAAACUUAAAGAAAUUGACGGAAGGGCACCACCAGGGGUGGAACCUGCGGCUUAAUUUGACUCAACACGGGGAAACUCACCAGGUCCAGACACAGUGAGGAUUGACAGAUUGAGAGCUCUUUCUUGAUUCUGUGGGUGGUGGGUGCAUGGCCGUUCUUAGUUGGUGGAGUGAUUUGUCUGCUUAAUUGCGAUAACGAACGAAACCUUAACCUGCUAAAUAGCCCGUACUGCUUUGGCAGUUCGCCGGCUUCUUAGAGGGACUAUCGG